GUGCACGCUGGCGGUAGGCCUAACACAUGCAAGUCGAACGGCAGCACAGUAAGAGCUUGCUCUUACGGGUGGCGAGUGGCGGACGGGUGAGGAAUACAUCGGAAUCUACUUUUUCGUGGGGGAUAACGUAGGGAAACUUACGCUAAUACCGCAUACGACCUACGGGUGAAAGCAGGGGAUCUUCGGACCUUGCGCGAUUGAAUGAGCCGAUGUCGGAUUAGCUAGUUGGCGGGGUAAAGGCCCACCAAGGCGACGAUCCGUAGCUGGUCUGAGAGGAUGAUCAGCCACACUGGAACUGAGACACGGUCCAGACCCCUACGGGAGGCAGCAGUGGGGAAUAUUGGACAAUGGGCGCAAGCCUGAUCCAGCCAUACCGCGUGGGUGAAGAAGGCCUUCGGGUUGUAAAGCCCUUUUGUUGGGAAAGAAAAGCAGCAGGUUAAUACCCCGCUGUUCUGACGGUACCCAAAGAAUAAGCACCGGCUAACUUCGUGC
rnacentral:rRNA from 1 species